GUAACGGUUCCCCGGAGGCAGGAGAAGCAGGAGUAGCAGGAGGGAAAAGACUGUUAAAAAAGGUUCCUGAGAGAUGACCACUCAGUGAAUCAAGACAGGCUUCACCAGAAAUGACAGGAACAGAAAGGUCUGUCAGCCCCUUCUGCCUAAUGGCUCAGCGUCAGUCCCUGCUUUCUACAAGACCAACCUUCUUCUCUGUCCCAGGAAGGAAGGAGGAAAAGAUUGCUGCCUCCAGAAACAUUUAAUUUGUCUAGCUACAGUAAUUAGAUUCUUUAUUCAUGGGCAUAUGUAGCUAAUCUCAACGGCAUGCACUUAAAUUGGGUUAAGAAGAUAUCUUUGAAAUGUCA